UACGGAGGGUGCGAGCGUUGUCCGGAAUCAUUGGGCGUAAAGAGCGUGUAGGCGGUCCGGUAAGUCGGUUGUGAAAGUCGGGGGCUCAACCCUCGGAGGCCGACCGAUACUGUCGGGCUAGAGUCCGGAAGAGGCGAGUGGAAUUCCUGGUGUAGAGGUGAAAUUCGUAGAUAUUCGCAAGAGCACCAGUGGCGAAGGCGGCUCACUGGCCCGGUACUGACGCUGAGGUGCGAAAGCGUGGGGGAGCAAACAGG
rnacentral:rRNA from 1 species